GCCGGGCGAGGUGGGGGCGCCUGUAGUCCCAGCUACUCGGGAGGCGGAGGCAGGAGAAUGGCGUGAACCCGGGAGGCGGAGCUUGCAGUGAGCUGAGAUCCAGCCACUGCAUGCACUCCAGCCUGGGCGACAGAGUGAGACUCCAUCUCAAAAAAAAAAAAAAAAAAANNNNNNNNNNCUGCUUACUUUCUUUUUUUUUUUUUUUUUUUGAGAUGGAGUCUCACUCUGUCGCCCAGGCUGGAGUGCAUGCAGUGGCUGGAUCUCAGCUCACUGCAGGCUCCGCCUCCCGGGUUUACGCCAUUCUCCUG
rnacentral:SRP_RNA from 1 species